rfam:Echinostoma caproni strain Egypt genome assembly, scaffold: ECPE_scaffold0000534
CAACGCUGACGAGUCCCAAACAGGACGAAACAGCUGUCCAGUGC